rnacentral:sRNA from 1 species
CCUCCAUGACCUGCGGACAGAUCAGGUGGACAUGGCAGUCGAUCGCGCCGGCGGUCAGGAUGCGGCCGUUGCCUGCGAUGAUCUCGGUGGACGGACCGACCACGAGAUCGGGAUGCACGCCCGCCAUGAUGUCCGGAUUGCCCGCCUUGCCGAUGGCGGUGAUGCGCCCGUCGCGAAUGCCGAUGUCGGCCUUGAUGAUUCCCCAGUGAUCGAUGAUCACCGCACCGGUGAUGACGGUGUCGGGCGCGCCGUCGGCACGCGUCGCCCUCGACUGUCCCAUCGAUUCCCGCAGG